UCAGUGACGCUAUAUGCCAAAAUAAGUGCUGCAUAUAUCACUCCUAAACAAUGAAAACGCAUUAUAACUAGACAAAAACCGGAUGCUAAAGGAUGAAUGAGGUGGGUAGAAAAGAAUGGAAAACAGUGUGAGCAAAGUGACUAGGACAAGAACACACAGGUUUGAGGGCUGUGAAGAAACCAACUUGACUGUAAAGGGACAUGAGGUGAGAGAGGAGGAAGAAAUAGUUACAUAUACAAUGCAGAGCCCAAUUUUAAAGGGGUAAAUGCAAGGUAUAAAUGAUCGAAGUUUUAUAAUAAAAACAUAGCUAGGUACUCAAUAAAUAUUGUCAGUUUUCGUUAUCUGAGUCCUAAUUUGUAUGUUUAUUUUCCUGUUUGCUUCUAGAGCUUAUGAACAGUGAGAGUUUAAGUUCAAAGAGUUGAUUUUCCAGGCUGAUGGAGUCUAAAUGACAGUGAAGCCACUACAGUCCAGGGCAAGGGAGAAGGGAAAAGUCCCACAGGAAGUACCAGAUCCCAGUCGCCAAAGUUCCAAAUGAUGAGCAAACUGGAAGAGGAGAAGCUGCCUCUUUUUUGCACAGGAAACGAGACGUCGCUGUAUCCAAGAAUUGAAAAGACAUGAACAAGCCAGCGUCAUCUAUUGCCUCGGUAUAAGAGUCUACCUUCCCUCAUAUGGAUGAACUUAGGAAUCCACCUUCCUGAAAUCAAGUCACCAAAAAGUUUGAUAUUAAAACAUCUCAUCACUUUUUCUGAAUUAUCAAUGAAAUUGGUACUGACACCCACAACAGGAAAUGCCACUUUACCAAAGUUA